GAUGAACGCUAGCGGCAGGCUUAAUACAUGCAAGUCGAGGGGCAGCAGCUCUGUAGCAAUACAGAGGCUGGCGACCGGCAAACGGGUGCGGAACACGUACAGAACCUUCCUUUAAGCGGAGCAUAGCCCGGGGAAACCCGGAUUAAUACUCCAUAGUAUACUGAAGAGGCAUCUCUUUAUUAUUAAAGAUUUAUCACUUAAAGAUGGCUGUGCGGCGGAUUAGAUAGUUGGCGGGGUAACGGCCCACCAAGUCUGCGGUCAGUAACUGGUGUGAGAGCACGACCAGUCACACGGGCACUGAGACACGGGCCCGACUCCUAGGGGAGGCAGCAGUAAGGAAUAUUGGUCAAUGGACGCAAGUCUGAACCAGCCAUGCCGCGUGAAGGAUGAAGGUCCUCUGGAUUGUGAACUUCUUUUAUAUGGGACGAAAAAAGGCUUUUCUAAGUCGUCUGACGGUACCAUUUGAAUAAGCACCGGCUAACUCCGUGCCAGCAGCCGCCGUAACAC
rnacentral:rRNA from 1 species